GACGAACGCUGGCGGCGUGCCUAAUACAUGCAAGUAGGACACACAGUUUAUACCGUAGCUUGCUACACCAUAGACUGUGAGUUGCGAACGGGUGAGUAACGCGUAGGUAACCUGCCUAUUAGAGGGGGAUAACUAUUGGAAACGAUAGCUAAUACCGCAUAACAGUAUGUAACACAUGUUAGAUGCUUGAAAGAUGCAAUUGCAUCGCUAGUAGAUGGACCUGCGUUGUAUUAGCUAGUAGGUAGGGUAAUGGCCUACCUAGGCGACGAUACAUAGCCGACCUGAGAGGGUGAUCGGCCACACUGGGACUGAGACACGGCCCAGACUCCUACGGGAGGCAGCAGUAGGGAAUCUUCGGCAAUGGGGGGAACCCUGACCGAGCAACGCCGCGUGAGUGAAGAAGGUUUUCGGAUCGUAAAGCUCUGUUGUUAAGGAAGAACGAGUGUGAGAAUGGAAAGUUCAUACUGUGACG
rnacentral:rRNA from 1 species